rnacentral:rRNA from 1 species
GACGUAGGGCGCGAGCGUUGUCCGGAUUUAUUGGGCGUAAAGAGCUCGUAGGCGGCUUGUUACGUCGACUGUGAAAACCCGUGGCUCAACCAUGUGGUCUGCAGUCGAUACGGGCAGGCUAGAAUUCGGUAGGGGAGACUGGAAUUCCUGGUGUAGCGGUGAAAUGCGCAGAUAUCAGGAGGAACACCGGUGGCGAAGGCGGGUCUCUGGGCCGAUAUUGACGCUGAGGAGCGAAAGCGUGGGGAGCGAACAGG